GAAAAGGAUGCUUGCCAAUUAUCCAAAGGGUUCUUCAGACCCUGCAGAUAGAUGAAACAGAAUGAGAGCAGAUUGUUUUGCCUUAAGGAAAUGACAAAUCUUCUUUAAUGACUCCAAACUUCUCCCAGAAACAGAGGUCCAUAUUUUUACUACCAAUAUCUUGCUGGUGUUAUAUGAAUACAAAACACGGAAUAUAAUAGUUUCUGAAGAAUUAAAAUGAGAGUCAUUCAAAAGGCAAUAGAAAGAUCCAUGGCAGACGUGAGAGUGGGCUGCAACAAUAAACUCUGAAGAACUAGAGUAAAAAGGUGUAUCUGCUGUUUGAGAGGUGAUGGGCCUACCUCCAGCUGUUCUGAUUACAACCGUUCCAUGCCUUCUCAUCCUCUGCAACUAAUGUUCUUCUGGAAAUCCACCCCAGGCUAUCCACUCAACAUGCUGGGUUGGGAUUUUCAGAUUGACUUAUGGAAGCUCCUGCCACCUGAGGCCAAGGCACAUCAAAUAUUGGGCUAGGAACAUGCUGCUGGUGUACCUUCUUGCUGCAGAAGAGAGAAUAGAUUAUCAUAGAUCUAGAACCACAAAAGGGCCUCAGAUGCCAUGUGUUCCAGCACAUAGGAUCAUGGACUAUACACUACAACUACCCUCAGCUGAAUAUUUACCUUCUCCAUUAAGACUAGACAUUGAUGGAGAGGUGGAUGCUGAUAAGACCAACCUGUUCUCCUCCUCUUGGGGCUAAAGAAAAACUGAAAAAGAGCCCAAACCUCCAACAUGUGGUUUGUGAUAUCCCUAUGUGUUUAGGAUCAGUUAUCAAAAUUUGCUUACUUUAUACUUAUUUUAUAUAUUGCCAUUCAAUCAUUGUUCAAUUGUGUCCAACUGCGUGACCCCAUUUGGGGCUUUCUUGGCAAAGAUGUUGGAGUGUUUGACAUUUCCUUAUCCAGCUCAUUUUAAAGAUGAGGAAACUGAAGCAAACAGGACUAAGCAACUUCCCCCGGGUCACAAACUAAUUAAUAACUAUCUGAGACCAGAUUUGAAUUCAGGGAGAUACGUCUUUCUGACUAUACUCACUAUGGUACCACCUAGCUGCCCUUUUAUCCUACAUACACUUAACAUAUAUACUUCUUGUCUUUCCCAUUAUAAGUGAAUGAAGUGAGGCUCUGUGAUAUUUCCAGUAGAAGUACAGAUCUGAGGGCUGGCAUCCAGCCGGCAAUGGAUACACUGCACCUGGUGGAUCCUAGACAGUUGGGAAAGAAAGUUGGUUUAGGUAAGGGAUUGUGUCAAGAAAAUGGAAUGUGGUAGAUAAGGAGAUUUAGCAGAUACUCAAAGGCCCACCUGGAGAUUAAUCUAAACUGAUUGAAUUAAGUGAGAGUGAUUGACUG